rfam:Sphingomonas sp. SKA58 scf_1100007010441 genomic scaffold, whole genome shotgun sequence.
AUCGGGAGUCGGGCGGACGAGGCCGUCGCGAACCUGGUCAGGUCCUGACGGAAGCAGCCACAGUGAUUCCGCCGCGGGUCGUCCCGGCUCCCACCCUC